UACGGAGGGUGCUAGCGUUGUUCGGAAUUACUGGGCGUAAAGGGCGCGUAGGCGGCCGUUUGCGUCGGAUGUGAAAGCCCGGGGCUCAACCUCGGAACGGCAUUCGAUACGGGACGGCUGGAGACCGGGAGAGGAGAGUGGAAUAGCCAGUGUAGAGGUGAAAUUCGUAGAUAUGGGGUGGAACACCGGUGGUGAAGGCGGCCAUCUGGACGGUAACUGACGCUGAGACGCGAAAGCGUGGGGAGCAAACAGG
rnacentral:rRNA from 1 species